rnacentral:rRNA from 1 species
AAUCAACGCUGGCGGCGUGCCUAACACAUGCAAGUCGCGCGCGAAAAGGGGGGGCAACCCCCGAGUAAAGCGGCGAACGGGUGAGUAACACGUGGGUAAUCUACCUUCGAGUGGGGAACAACAUCGGGAAACUGGUGCUAAUUCCGCAUGACCAUCGUCGGGGCUUCGGUUCUGACGAUCAAAGCUGGGGAUCGUAAGACCUAGCGCUUGAAGAUGAGCCCGCGUCCGAUUAGCUAGUUGGCGGGGUAAUGGCCCACCAAGGCUCCGAUCGGUAGCCGGCCUGAGAGGGCGGACGGCCACACUGGAACUGAGACACGGUCCAGACUCCUACGGGAGGCAGCA